CCACCCAUUUUCUACCUCUCCUCUCCCUCACGCCCCCUGACACAAACGGAUUGCGAUGAACUUUGCGCGUGCAUGCGUAGCAGCUGCCUUUUUUUUUUCUGUGAGGCUCUUCUCUCCUUGUCCUUCACCUUUCCCCGCAAGCGACAGGGGUGCCGUGGCGUAGCCUCACGCGUCUGCAGCGCGUGAUCAUUACCGCGCGCCCGCAUACGCAGACGAAGGCACUCCGCGCAUCUUCUGUGCUGACCGAGACUCCGGGCAACCUUCUCCUUUCCUCUGGAGGGGGCUUUUUGAACCCGACACCAGUGCAUGCGCGCCUCGCUCACAUUCCUUUCCCACGAUGGUUUCCGAAUCACAUUUCGAUGUCCGUGUAAAGGGAUGCGCGGCGGCAGCAUAUAUGAUCAACGAGGCGCGCGUUUGUGUGACAGGCGCGAAGAGGGUGCUUAUGAAAACUGAUGACCAUCUAAGUCAGAUACACACGAUGUGCCGUGCGCUUGGCAUUCGCCCAGCGGCAGCGGCUCCAUUCAUUCAACCGGCGCUGGCCUUACAGCGUCGAAGGCUGCACACCCCUAUUGUGGCUCACGAAAAGCCUGCGGCGAAAAUUGCCCUUCCAAUGCUGCUGAGCGACUCCUCUGGCGACGCAUCUUACCUUGCAGGACAAGAUAGCGUCGGCACGCUGAGCAUGACCCCACCAGGCUCUCCGAGAACCCGCACCCUCACCCCCAUGUCUAACAUCCACCACCAUGCGCACCUGGCGACAAGCGAACUUCCGGUUAGCGUCUUAGCGGCAAGCGCUCUGAACUUUGCGGCGGCGUGGCGCACGGAGGACAGCACGUGCGCGGCGCGAAAGGAUCUCAUCCACCGCUGUUUGAAGGCGCGGCGUGACUUGGAGCUAGAGGAGGCGGGUGACCGCCACCGGCUGAGCCAGCUGCUGCUGACCGUGUCGGAGCAGAUGCAUCGAUUUGUGGUGAUGGGCGAGUACAGCAAGUUUGUUGUCUUCUGUGUCGAUCAGGAGCCUGUGUGGCGCCAGGCAGCUCGCCAGCUUCAAAAGGAGAACGAGGCGCGACUCCACACGGCCGAGAACAUCUACUCCCGUUUCCUCAUGGAGGAAGUAGCUCUUUCGGAGAAGAUGCGCAUGUUUCAGGAAGCCUCCGACUUUGUCGUGUCGCAGGGCUAUGCGGCGCGGGAGCAGCGGCAGCGUGCCCAGAUACGCGCGGCAAGACGCCGCUGCGACCGCGAGUCGGCGUCCCAGGAGACGCCUAUGCCGUUUGAACCUCAAUCGCACCUGCACCCUCAUCAACACAAUAAUGAGAGCAAUGCUGCCUCUUUGGCAGGCGGCCGGACGCCGCCGCAACUGCAGAGGCCUCGCGAUGACUUCACAGACAAGCGAUCUGAGAGCGGCAAAGAACGAUCCGCUAAAAAUGCCAAGCCGCACUCUACCACGAAGGUGGAUCGGUACAGGCAGCGCUGGCGAGAGAUAAUCUGGUUCCUUAGCAACGGUGAGCGAGGGAAGGCGGCACAGCACUGAAGCGCACCGCCCGCUGCGUCUUCGAAAGGCGGCGCGAAGCCCUGACCGAAAAAGGAGGCUCGGCACGCGCCGCAGCCACCCGCCGCCCGCAACGGCAAGGAGGCUGUAACUAAAUGAGGGCAAUCGAGGGAGUGAGCCCAGGCGCAUCUGAAGUCGGUCUGCACUGGCAAAGGCAACGACAGAAGCGGCGCUUGCAGCGAUGCGACCGCCUCGCUGAGGCCAAACGAAGAUGGCAAGAAGAAAGCGAGCCACUCUGCUGCCGCCCUGAACUCGGCCGCCCCAGGCCGCGACACGGAUGAGGAGGAGCGAAAGCACCUCGACCGCGAGCGGGUGAGGCCCGCGUGAGCGGUCACUCGCACCAUCACCGCAAUGAAGAUGCCCUAGAUGCACUGGUGACAAGGGAGCACGGGCUCGAUGCGACUGCUCGCCGUCAGUGUUUGCUGCUGGUCGAAUUUCCAUUCCUGCUCCUGUCUUAUCAGCUACCGCAUACUCAUGUCGGCGCGCAUUCAACGCCGACCACCGAUAGCCUUUCGCUCUCCCAAGAGCCCUGCGUCUUCGACUAUGACUGGCCUUGGCAAAGAACACGCAGACAGUGCCUCCACCGAGUGCUUCGACGUGCGCCGUGUUCGAUUCUCCUGCCGCGAGCACAUGUGAGAGGCAUGCACUUUUUCUCCGUCUCGCUUAUUUUUCUCACGUUCUCUUGAUGGUCACACGUCGCCGAUUUGGUGUGACAGACGCCACCCGCGGGCUUACCAGAGGACUUGCAGAUGCCUCAGUGUUCGACUGGCAUGCCGUUCAUCUAUGGGUAAGCUCGUUGGCUUGCACAGCGCAUUCCUUCAUGGACACUGCUGCACGUACAUGUUUUUCUGUGUGUGUGCGACUGCCCUGUAUGCGUGGCCGCGAGGGACAACCUGACGCUUCACAUGAAAAUCGAAGAGGUGGAGUGUGGGCGAUAUCAAAAAGAGCGCAAAGAGAACCCCCCCUUCCCUCCUCUCCCUCAUAUCCCUCACUGCCGUUUAUAUAUAUGCGACUUGCGCGUCCCCUCUUUCGUCGCAUUUGGCAGUGCCGGGUGGCCGCCUUGGCCUUUUUGUGACCCCCCCCUCUCCCUCCCACCCACCCUCUCACCCUCCCCGCCAUUGGAUGACUUCAUUUGUGAGCUGGCAUGCUGCCGGUUUUAUCCACGAGCAAUGCAUGUGACUUCUUAUAGUUGUUGCUGUGCUUCUCCUUGCCUGUCCCUUGCCAUCUUUGACGGCCUCUCUCACUCUUUUCGGCAUACGAGCAGGGAUCAACCCCCUCCUCCCCCUUGUGUGUGCGUGCGUCUGUGUGCCCUCUCUAUUUUUUUUCUUUGGCAGUGGUGGGGGUUCGAGUCGCAUGCAAUUUGCGCACAUGCAUCUCGUUUCGCGCACGAGGUACUUCUUUUGAGAGGGAUGCUCGUGUGUCCUUCUGGGCUAGUUCGUCGAUCUCGGGCGCUCCCACGAGGGGGGUCAUCGUCUCGUCUUCCUCUCCCCUCCCUCUCCCUUUCUCUGCUUCAUCUUCCCCCCUCCCACCUGUGUCUUUUUUUCACUUCUGUGCCUUGCGUAAUUCUUCCCGGCUUCUCUAUUUCUGCAGCUGCACGCACACGCACACGCACACGUUUUGGUUAUCGGCGCGCAUGUUUGGGCGCGCAUGUGCGUUAUCCUUUCGCGUGUUUGCUCGUGCGCCCCUGUGCGCUCUACUUAUAUGGAGGCGAGGGUGUGCGAAUGGGGUGGGUAGGAGGGUGGGGCAAGAACACACCCCACACGCACGUUUGUGUCUCUCUAUCAUCUUUUUGUAUACGCCGAUGUAUCAUUCUUAUUCUGAUUUUCGUUCUAUGUGUGUGUGUGUUUAUGGGCUCCUCGUUUGAUGUUCGCCCUUCUCCUUCUCAUUCCCCCUUCUUCUUUCUCCUCUUUAGUCUUUUCUCUGUAGUUUUGUUAUUUGUCUUCGUCCUAACGUGAGCAUGUUUACACAUCACCGCCUCACUCUCCCCUUUAUCUUCGCCUUUCCUCUCUCUAUCUGCUUGCCGAAUGGGUUGGCUUCUGAGUCUGCGUGUGUGUGUACCAGGAAGAUUACUGGCAAAUGAAGUUGAGAAGAAAAGGAAAGGCUUGCAAGAAGCGUUUCAUGUGCACCCACUAAGGCAUACAUACACCCACGUACACGAGCACGCACACGAAGAGGCACACACAGUAGAUUCAAGUAAGCGUUUGGGGCGGGGGGGGGCAGCGUCCAUAGGGGCCCCUGCCUUUCCCAUUGCCUUGCUUGAAUUUCCGUGUUGUUGCUUGCCUACCUCCUGCCAUCUGUCGCUCGUCCUUCUUUCUCUCUUCGUAGCAUCCUUUCUGUGCCUUCGAACUUUACCUCGUUCCUGUUGCUUCCAUCGGUGCUGCUGUAGUGGUAGUCGAUCUGUGUAGGUCUGUGUGUGCUGACGCGCUUGUGGUGCGUGUAACGACACCGGCUGUCUGUUUGCUUCAGCUGUGUAGGGUGUUUGUAUGUGCGUGCGACGCAAUCUCUGUCGAUGCUGCGACGUGACCUCCUUUGGAGAAGUAGGGAAGUCACGAAGGUGCGCGCGAGCAUGAGGGGUAUAAUCAAGCUCUAAACG
rnacentral:misc_RNA from 1 species